GACGAACGCUGGCGGCGUGCUUAACACAUGCAAGUCGAACGGUGAAAGCGGAGCUUGCUCCGCUGGAUCAGUGGCGAACGGGUGAGUAACACGUGGGCAACCUGCCCCUCACUUCGGGAUAACUCCGGGGAACCGGGGCUAAUACCGGAUAUGACCUCCUUGGGCAUCCUUGGAGGUGGAAAGUUUUUCGGUGAGGGAUGGGCCCGCGGCCUAUCAGCUUGUUGGUGAGGUAGUGGCUCACCAAGGCGACGACGGGUAGCCGGCCUGAGAGGGCGACCGGCCACACUGGGACUGAGACACGGCCCAGACUCCUACGGGAGGCAGCAGUGGGGGAUAUUGCGCAAUGGGCGAAAGCCUGACGCAGCAACGCCGCGUGCGGGAUGACGGCCUUCGGGUUGUAAACCGCUUUCAGCAGGGAAGAAGCCGCAAGGUGACGGUACCUGCAGAAGAAGCACCGGCUAACUACGUGCCAGCAGCCGCCGUAAUAC
rnacentral:rRNA from 1 species